GACUCGCGGCUCGUCUGCAGGGGAGGCGGAGCCCCAGCGGCCCAGCCAGCCCAGGGCCCAGGCUGCUGCCCAGCGAGGCCUGCUCUGCGGCCGCCCCGGCGCCUCGGCUCUCCGCGCUGCUGCCGCCGCCGCCGCGGCCGCGCUCGAAACAGGUGCCCGGCGGGUCGAGGCUGCGGAAGAGCGAGCCCAGGAGCCCCGCGCCGCCGCCGCCGCCGCCUUGGUUGCGCCCGCUGUCCGCCGGCGGCUGCAGGGAUCGCGCCCGGCGAUGCUCCGUCUCGCAGCGGACCUUCGGCUGCCGGGAGGAGGGAGGCGGACCUGGGGCUGGGGCAUCGCCUGACGGCCCGGACAGGAACGUGGCGAGAAUCAGCCGCGCCUUUACUUGGGAGUAAGUGGCAUUGAACUCCGCCGCCGGCCUUACUUCCAAGUAAAAGAUGCCCAGGCUCGCUCGGUAAGGAGGGCAGCGCUUAGGCGGGAGACUGUAUUCUUCCAUGGCAAGACGGAAGAAUAGCGGCGGCGGCGGCGGCGGUUUGUUGCAAAACCUACGGAUUUGUGUGAUUAUAAUUAUUAUUAGGGCCACCAAGGUGCAUCAUAUUGGCGGAAAUAUUUAAAGCGUUUGCAACUGUUAAUACCCAUACCUGCAGUUUUUCACGUGUUGGUUAGGAGGAUGAGAGGAGCUGGACAUGCCAUGAUGCCAAUUUUGAGAAGCAAAACUCUUAAAAGUUUGCGACAAUGUAUCAAAUGACAGAUUAAGCAGGUGACAAGUAGCGGUUUCGGUGCUGGAGAAAAAUCACUGUCUUUGACUUCUUAGCGAAACGUUCAUUAAUUUGUAUUCUACUCUAAAUGUAAUCUCCAGUGUUUUACAGCAACUUUAUUGUACUGAGUCAGACCACUGGUCCAUCUAACUGCGAAUUGUCUGUGCUGAUUGACAGCAGCUCACCAGCGCUUCAGGCAGGAAGUAUCUCCCUGACUUACCUGGAGGUGCUGCACCGCUUCCCAAUUUCUCAAUUUUAGUUCCUUAUGUAAGAAAUUUUCCAGCUAUGGGAAACGUGGACUUUCUACAACUUUUCUGAAUUAAACAUAUUUGAUUCUUCCAGGUAAAAAAAAAAAAAGGCAAGAGCCUACUUAAGAGAUUUUCAGGGUGAGGUCUGUGGACCACUGAUGGUUGACAGCUCCAUUUUGCUGGUCCUCAGAAAGGUUACAGAACAGUCCGGAAUAUCUGUACUUAGCCUUGACAGUUAAUUCAUUUCUUCCCCUCUGAUAGCUGGGAUCAGAGGGCUAGGGUUGUGUAAUCGUGGUUAUGACCGUGGUUGCAUUACAUAGUUGCAUAUACUCAUUAAAAUGUGUUUUGUAGAACAACAAAUUUAAAAAAUAUAUUAAGCCCAAGACCCCCCAGCAAUUUUCUAGUGGUUUGCAAAGGGAUAAAAGCUGUUGCCUUAAAUGUUGGGAAAGGGGAGAGUUUCAUAGGUACUGGGGAUGGAAAAUUCUUUACUUCAACGCGUCAGUAUGAUUUCACCUGCUAUUUAAUAUUUUCAUUUAUUUUGUGAAAAGUUGUGCUAGCUGACAAUUGUUUAAAGAUACUAUAGGCUGAAGCUGUAAACAUUCAAACUUGACCAUUACUGAACUAAAACACAAGUUAUCAAAAUAAAGUACAGUACUGAAGUGCACUAGGGUUUUUUCCCUAGCAGAUCUGCAAUUGUUUUCUGUAGUGCAUUUAUUAAUACAUCUAUAAGAUUAUAUUAAUAGCAAAUGAACUUUUUCAGGCUGAGUGUGAUAAAAGCAAUAGUGAUGGGCAAAAAUACACUUCUGGUAGCACUGUGAUUCUAAGCGUGCAUAUUCAUAUCAGUUCCAAUUAAUACACUGAAACUUCAGCAAAUUUGCUUAGUGUCACACUACAUGGAUCAAAUUUAAACAUAGUUGCAGAAAACCAACCUUUAUUUCCUCUGCUUGAUAUAAAAUAUUUUUGUAGUCUCUUUGUUGCAAGAAUAGUGGCCCAUAAUUAGUAAAUAGUAAGAUAAGAUAUAAUUACAGUACCUGAAGCUAUUGUUAUAAUAAUGAUUAGAAAACUUUUUUCAUUCCUCUGGUUUAUUUGUGGGUCUUUGUGUUUUAAACUUAAGUUUUUUGUGGGUUAAUUUGUUUCUUUAAAAAUCUACAAGAUCUGUAAGGAUGUUAGACAUCUUACAGAAGCUGGUGACUUUAGUGAAACUGAGGGAUUCAAAAUUCAGUAGUCCCAACUCAGGGAACUCAAAUCUUUUUACAUACUUGAGAAAUUGUAGCCUAAGGGACUAAAAUCUUUUUACAUACUUGAGAAAUUGUAGCCUAAGGGGUUCAAACUCUUACUAAAUAACUAUUUCACAUGUUGUGAAAGAUCAGUUUUAAAUCGUUUUUACAGAUAAUAUAAAUACACUUUUUUCUUUAAAAUUUCAUAUUUUUAGUGUAGUAUAUAAAUGAUAAUAGAUGUUCCCCAAACUAAAACUUUACUAUAAUCAACCUUUCAAAGCCAAUAAUUUUUAAAUUAUUUGUACCCUUUUAUUUCCUGUUUUUCUCAAGUAUUUUGUUUCAACAAAGCUGACAAUGUACAUGUACACAAUAUUUUCAACAAUUGUUAACUUUUUAUUAGUAGUGAUGAAAAGGUUUUGAUUGGCUGUUUCUUCUGUUUUAAAUUUAUCACUUCCUAAGCCUUUGGAUGUCAGUGUGUUUUGAGCCCCUUUAUUCUCCUUGUAUUUCUUCAUCAUUUGCACACUGAUUGGUUGAUCUGGGGGAAAGUUCCUUUAAGAAAUCUAAUUUUUAUUGAAGCUUCCAAAGUAACUGUGAGCUCUUUAAAAAAAUGAAUAUGUUGCUUAACAUUUGUUGUUUUAUUCCAUGCAGAGUUUUAUGCUGGUCGUUUCCCCUGUUUACUUAAAAGUGAGCAAAUCUUUACUUUGUUUUCUUGUUGAGUCAUAUGCAGUCAUAGUCUUGUGGAAGUUUUAAAGAAUUUUAUUUUUCUUCAUUAUUUUUGAAAUCACACUAAAUGCCAACUUGCAUGCCAUAAUUAUGAUGCUUUUAAAUGAGGCAAAUAAAUAGUUUUUUUAAAAAAAUGUAUAUACCUUAUUUGAUAAAUAAAUACAUCUGAAUCCC